rnacentral:rRNA from 1 species
UACGUAGGGGGCGAGCGUUGUCCGGAUUCAUUGGGCGUAAAGAGCUCGUAGGCGGCUUGGCAAGUCGGAUGUGAAAACUCCAGGCUUAACCUGGAGCCGCCAUUCGAUACUGCUAUGGCUAGAGUCCGGUAGGGGAGUGUGGAAUUCCCGGUGUAGCGGUGAAAUGCGCAGAUAUCAGGAGGAACACCGGUGGCGAAGGCGGGUCUCUGGGCCGAUACUGACGCUGAGGAGCGAAAGCGUGGGGAGCGAACAGG